UUCUCUUAAGGCUAUUAAAAAUGAUGCAGAAUUUUAACCAUCUGCUGUACUGGGUACGCGGCGGUGCAGAGAGCGCUGCCAAGCUGUGUUUUCCAAAGGGAAAGAAAUGCAAAGCUUUCAAAUUCUAAAACUAUUUUGAAGCGUGUAAAUAUUUCCUGAAGUAGUGUCUGUAAGGAAAGGAAGGUUAUUUUACACCGAGGUUUGAGAAAUAGGUUUUUAGCAAAAGCGUAGCGUUUUCAGGAAGUAGCCUGCCCUCCCCAGUUCACGAGGAGCGAAUGGGAUUUUUCCUAAAAGGGAUUCAGGUGUUGAAACGCAGCGUGUUUAGCGCUUUAGAAGCGUAGCGAGAGCGAGCAGUGUAAGAUUCAAGAAACGAUGCAGCGAUGGAAAGUGAUAAUUUCUGUACUGUAAUGGCUCUUUAAAGGAUUUCUGUUUCAGUGUUCAGGACAGAGCUGAAUGCAGCAAAGUCACUUCUUGCACUUGACCAGCUGCUUAUGUGUGUACAGGAGUGAAAUUAUUUAAUGAGUAACGUGGAGACUGGUGAAGAAAUCUUGCUGCUGCUGUGGCAUCGUUAACGGUCUUCGUAUGUCCAGUUCACAAAGGAAGAAUAUUUCUAAACGUUAAUAGAUGGAAAAAAAUGCUUUUCAAGUGGUGAAGUUUAAAGAAGAAAAUAGCAGGACCCUUACAUGUGGUAUUCUUACUUCUUGAAAAUUAUAUUAAGUGUCGUGAAGAGCAAAGAAGUUGUUUUUAAAAUAGCUGUAAGUCAGAAUAUAAAUGUUUAUUUGGAGUAAGAAUUAAGGAAAUCAAAGCAUAUUGCCUUAUAAUUCAGCUACGUAUUUAAGAUCCCAUAGCAAGUUCUUGGAAAAGAGAUUGUAGUGAAGUAUUUGAGGCAGAGAGUCGCUUUGAAAAUGCUUUAUCAGUUUUUGUUUGUUUGUUUGUUUUCUUUUAAGCUCUCUGAACCCUGGAUUGUUAGCUGUAGCCACUGGUUAUUCUUUGCUGCGGGGAGAGCUGUAUUUUCUUUAAAUGAAACCUCUGCGAUCUAUAAACGAGCCUUAACAAAGGCUGCUUUUACUUUCUGAAACCAACGUAGGGCCCAGUUAAACCUGUUUAAGUUGCAAGCAAAAGUCUCAGAAGACUGUGGGGUAGAUGUCUUGUACGCUAGAACAUCAGCGUAAAUAGGAAUGCAAAGAGCCUGGAUACCGAUGGAGUUGACGUUAUAAUAAAUCCUAUAAAAGAAUUGGGCUUGAUUCUUCUGUCAACACAGAACACCUUUUAAUGAUGUUUCCUGUGAUUUGAAUAGAGUGCCAAAUCAGGCCCACCAAAUUUGUUUGAAAUGAAACAGAAAACAGAAAUUGCCUGGCUUAGAAAGUAUUUCAUGGUCAGUGGAAAAAAAUGAGGAAGAGGAGGGUGUGGAUGCUGCCUGGAGAGUCUGGCCACGCAGACGGGGCUGCUGGAGGCUCAGCUUUGGGAGAUGCGGUCCUUGAUCUUUACAAAAUGAAGACUUCUUUUAGUUUUUGCAAACAGUCGAUUGGUAAGAGAAUAUAGGACUAAGAGGACCAACGCUUGAUCCUUUUGGAAUAUCCUGUCCUUUCUGGAAGUGGGGCCAACUAGAUCCCUUGGCCAACGGUUUAAUCGUGGCUUCCUGCAAGGGUCUUUCCAGUCUUUCCAGCAAACAAUCCUAUUUAAUGCUGUAAUAUUCUUGUAGGCUGUAUAUAGCUCUGUAUUCUUCCUGAAUCCCAUUGAGGUCCCUUAGUGAUGCACUGUGUCACUGAUUUUCACAUGCUGAGCCCGCCCUUUAUAAAAUAAUAUAUAUUAAUAUUCCCGCGGUUUUAACUUAACUGCUCAUUUAUUUUGACUGAAUGGUGUCCUGUUUGAGACUGGAAGUAGGUGAAGAUGACUACAAUUCUGACUUUUAAAGUAUGUAUCUCUGUUGUGUUCCCUGUUGCUCAUGUGCUUGCUAACAUAGUUUAAUCACUUUAUAUGUUCUUAUACGGGAGUCUUUCUGUGAAUCAAAUCGCUGCAGUCCUCUGAGUUUGCAUUCCUGUUACUUCUGGAGUUGAAUGAGGUGAGGGGAAAGACCUGUGGGCAGCAUUCUCCUUGAAGGUAUUUCCCUGGCAGGUGUAUGCCAGAAGGGUAAUGUUUUCAGUAUUGGAUUCUGUGCUUUUUUGAAUGCAUCAUAAAAUUUGUCUUUUUUGACAUUGCUGUAUAUACGAGAAAGCUUUCAGUGACUUCCUAUGAUGGAUGGCAUCUAGGUCUUUUCCCUCUGCCCGAGAACCUUGCAGUGUGACUGACUUAGCAAUUGUCAAAACUGAAAGUUAUUUAUCAUAACAAUUCAUGUACACCCAACUUUGUUAAACCCCUUCAGUCACCCAAACACAUAUCAAUCGUUUUGUUAGUUUUGCUGCCUCGUUAUACAGCUGUUUUUCCAGUCCACUAAUUAAUGUUGAAAGUUGAUGCAAGCAUGCAUUCUACAGGCAACUACUGCUAACCUUUUUCCACUGAAAUUGUCUCUUUAUUCCUACGUUUUACUCUUGGCUGCUUAGCUAAUUUUUAAUCAUGACUUUAACACUCAGUCAUGAUUAUUUUGUUUUCUUUAUGGCCUUUAUGAGUCACAUUAUCAAAGUACUUUUGAAAGGCCAAAUAAAUAAUAAUUUCUUCUGCGGAUGCAUUCCAAGUUAAAAAAGACAUAUUUUUCAUUAUGUUAGCAAUGCUGUUUUUCUCUCCAUUAUGUAAUCUUUGCUUAGGCAUUGAAGUUAUAAUGCUUUUUAAGUAGCCUUCCAGCCAGUUUGCUAAAUGCUAAAAUUCACUGGCAUGUAAUCUGGAUCAUUUGUAGCAAUUUUUAAGGAGCGCUACCCUUUCGUUCCUGAUAGGAGAGGGUGUAUGUUUUUGUUGGAAACCGUGGCUUUGUCAACUAUGAGCUUCGUCAGAGCUCUUGCAUGUGUAUCUAGUGCUCUGAACGGCUUGCUUUUUAACUUCCUCGGCUAUUUCAGCGCUUUCUGGUUUGGUGUGCGCUGCUUUCUCAUCCUUUACUUGCGAAAGAGUAGAUUAAUAGGAUUUGAAGUCUAGUGGGAACGGACAGGUACAGUUUGAUCACUUGCAUAUCCCAGAUUUUUGAACUGUUUCCACCUUGUAUUAAACCUAAUAACUUCUUUUAAGCUAAAAGCUGUCUCUGGGUGUGUCCUGAUUUCUGGACACCAGGAGAUACAGAAGUUCAGCCAGGAAUAAGAGGUCGGGGUCAUUAUUGCUCCUCUCCCCAAAUGGCCUGUACAAGAGUUGUUUGUCACAAAGUCAUGCUUCCUUCUACUGUUUCCUUGUAGAGAAGGAACAUCUUAUUUCGUUGCUCCUUAGAGUGUGGUUUUAGUUCCCAUCUUGGAUCUAGAUAGUUCUGCUGACUGCUGUUAAGGUUAAAGAGAACAAGAAAAUGAAAGGCUAGGAGGAAUAGUCUAGGAGGAAUAGAGUUUCUGUUGGGAGGACUUUAUAUAUCUAUAUAUGUAUGUAUCUCUUUAUGAAUAUAUGUAGAUAUGUGUGUACAUGUGUGUGUGUGUAUGUAUGUAUGUAUGUCUCUAUCUCCCAGAUCAGGAACCCAGCUAACAAGAAGGGCUAUCAUGGUCAUCUGUACAGGGUGAGAAAGGAUGAGUUUACUACUUUGCAUGACUGAAUAUCUCAAGGUCAUAAUUAACCAUUAUCUUUUCUGCAGUGUUUUUCCUCCUCUUUAUUCACUCCCUUUAUUUCCCAGUACUCUUUUAGAUUUACCAGACAAUUGUUGUGCGGUCUUCUUGCUUCCAAUAUAUGUCAAUAAAUUGGUUCAGUCCUUACUCUUAAGAUGAGACUAGAAGCAUAUACUUUGAAAGUAAUAUUUUUGUACUAGUGGUUUCGAUUCAGUGCUUUUGGUUUUUGGAAGAGAUUCCUGUUUGCCUCAACCUAUUAUAAAGCUUUUUUUCUGUAUAUAGUUUGUCCUUGCCCACCUGCUUCUUCUGUAUUUGAGAUUCUGUCACCCUUUAUUUCUGACUGAUAUAUGACUGCAUAAUCGUCUAUACAUAGAAGCAGAGGAAAAAGGGGAGAUUGAAUAAACAUUCAGUAUGACAAAGUGGUACUGUGAUUCCAAGUGGCUUAUUUUAAAUACCUGCUAUAUAUUUUUGGUUUUUCCCUUAGGUGCUUGUUUUGCUCUGGACAUUGACUUCAAAGCCUGUUGUCUGUCAAGACUUUCUGAAUCCACUGCUCUUUCUUUGACUCCUGAUCUAAUAAAAAGCCCGAUACUUUCAUAUUAGAUUCAGGGGAGCAGCAAUCACUGGAAACGAACGGUAUGAUCGGAUUCAGUCGUUCCAGGCACAGAAGUGGAGAGAUGGGAAAACGUAGAAGUGAGUUGUACCGAGUGCCAGUCUGUCACCCGCCCGUGGUGGGAAUACUGCCCAUCAUGGCACAAACUCAAGCUUUGGAAGUUUCUUUGUUUUAACUUGGCCUCCUCGGAGGUUGUUGUGAGUCGCCUGGGCUAAACCCCAUGCUUCUCAAUGGGACAUGUAUACCGGGACGGGUUUUUCCAUUCGGUUUUCUUGACGGCAGUAAGUUUCCCUCUCUUCCUGCUAGGGAAAGGAAAGAUCAAAAACAGGAGCGAGGAACAGCAGUGAUGGGUAAAGAAGGGAAGCGAUUCUUUCCACAAAGGGAAAACAGAAUAAAGUGAGCGUAAUGCUGUUUUUAUUA